GAGGAGGCGGGAGAGGCUGCUCUAAGGGAGGACAUGGUGAGAAUGAUAAUGAGUCUGAGCUCAGUCAGACUUGAAUUUGAGAUGAUUGCAAUGAUGACACCAGGAAAAUGAGGGCUCAUUGUUCAGACCUUAUGACUUCAGAAUUGGCUGAGUGUCUUAGAGGAGUGGGCCUGUGACCAUCACAACACAACAGACAAGAGACUUUCUAUUACAGUCAAUCCCACUGGCAGAAAAAUAAAAUGCUAAGUUUUACUGUUUUACUGUUCAUUAGUAAUAUGUCAGUGAUUUAGAAGUUGUUCUGAUGCAACUGAAAGAAACCCACAGCAAAACAGAUGAAGGUGUAACAUUUUUAUGGAAGAUAGAAUUUGGUUUGGCUCUGUUGCACUCUGAUUUUGGAUGGAUAUUUAAACAAGUUUGAUUUUUCUU